UACGAAGGGGGCUAGCGUUGCUCGGAAUCACUGGGCGUAAAGGGUGCGUAGGCGGGUCUUUAAGUCAGGGGUGAAAUCCUGGAGCUCAACUCCAGAACUGCCUUUGAUACUGAGGAUCUUGAGUUCGGGAGAGGUGAGUGGAACUGCGAGUGUAGAGGUGAAAUUCGUAGAUAUUCGCAAGAACACCAGUGGCGAAGGCGGCUCACUGGCCCGAUACUGACGCUGAGGCACGAAAGCGUGGGAGCAACAGG
rnacentral:rRNA from 1 species